AGAGUUUGAUCAUGGCUCAGAUUGAACGCUGGCGGAAUGCUUUACACAUGCAAGUCGAGCGGCAGCGCGGGGCAACCUGGCGGCGAGCGGCGAACGGGUGAGUAAUGCAUCGGAACGUGUCCAUGUCGUGGGGGAUAGCCCGGCGAAAGCCGGAUUAAUACCGCAUACGCCCGAGAGGGGAAAGUGGGGGACCGCAAGGCCUCACGCGAUUGGAUCGGCCGAUGUCCGAUUAGCUAGUUGGCGGGGUAAAGGCCCACCAAGGCGAUGAUCGGUAGCUGGUCUGAGAGGAUGAUCAGCCACACUGGGACUGAGACACGGCCCAGACUCCUACGGGAGGCAGCAGUGGGGAAUUUUGGACAAUGGGGGCAACCCUGAUCCAGCCAUUCCGCGUGAGUGAAGAAGGCCUCCGGGUUGUAAAGCUCUUUUGUCCGGAACGAAACGGGCGACGUGAAUAUCGUUGUCUACUGACGGUACCGGAAGAAUAAGCACCGGCUAACUACGUGCCAGCAGCCGCGGUAAUACGUAGGGUGCGAGCGUUAAUCGGAAUUACUGGGCGUAAAGCGUGCGCAGGCGGUUUUGUAAGCCGGAUGUGAAAUCCCCGGGCUUAACCUGGGAAUGGCAUUCGGGACUGCAAGGCUGGAGUGCGGCAGAGGAGACUGGCAUUCCUGGUGUAGCAGUGAAAUGCGUAGAUAUCAGGAGGAACACCGAUGGCGAAGGCAGGUCUCUGGGCUGACACUGACGCUCAUGCACGAAAGCGUGGGGAGCAAACAGGAUUAGAUACCCUAGUAGUCC
rnacentral:rRNA from 1 species